rnacentral:rRNA from 1 species
GAUGAACGCUGGCGGCGUGCUUAACACAUGCAAGUCGAACGGAAAGGCCCAAGCUUGCUUGGGUACUCGAGUGGCGAACGGGUGAGUAACACGUGGGUGAUCUGCCCUGCACUUCGGGAUAAGCCUGGGAAACUGGGUCUAAUACCGGAUAGGACCACAUUUUGGAUGGUGUGGUGGAAAGUUUUUCGGUGUGGGAUGAGCUCGCGGCCUAUCAGCUUGUUGGUGGGGUAAUGGCCUACCAAGGCGUCGACGGGUAGCCGGCCUGAGAGGGUGUACGGCCACAUUGGGACUGAGAUACGGCCCAGACUCCUACGGGAGGCAGCAGUGGGGAAUAUUGCACAAUGGGCGCACGCCUGAUGCAGCGACGCCGCGUGGGGGAUGACGGCCUUCGGGUUGUAAACUCCUUUCGCUAGGGACGAAGCGCAAGUGACGGUACCUGGAGAAGAAGCACCGGCUAACUACGUG